UGUAGGUCAGUGAUACAGUGUCUGCUUUGCAUGCAGAUGAUUCUCAGGUUCAAUACCUGGCAUCUAAA